UGACCUCGGAUCAGGUAGGAAUACCCGCUGAACUUAAGCAUAUCAAUAAGCGGAGGAAAA
rnacentral:rRNA from 1 species